AAACAACUCUCAGCAACGGAUAUCUUGGCUCUUGCAACGAUGAAGAACGCAGCGAAAUGCGAUACGUACGUAGUGUGAAUUGCAGAAUUCCGCGAAUCAUCGAGUCUUUGAACGCAAGUUGCGCCCGAGGUCCAAGGGCAUUUCCGCUAGAGCGUCACC
rnacentral:rRNA from 1 species